rnacentral:rRNA from 1 species
CGAAAGCCUGACGCAGCAACGCCGCGUGAAGGAUGAAGGCUCUCGAGUCGUAAACUUCUGUCUGGGGGAAAGAUGAUCGACGGUACCCCCAAAGCAAGCCCCGGCUAAUUCCGUGCCAGCAGCCGCGGUAAUACGGAAGGGGCAAGCGUUGUUCGGAAUUAUUGGGCGUAAAGGGCGUGUAGGCGGCUUCGCAGGUCGGUGGUGAAAGCAUACAGCUCAACUGUAUUGAGCCACGGAAACGGCGGAGCUUGAGGCUGGGAGGGGCUGGUGGAAUUCCCUGUGUAGCGGUGAAAUGCGUAGAGAUGGGGGAGAACACUCGUGGCGAAGGCGGCCAGCUGGACCAGUUCUGACGCUGAGACGCGAAAGCGUGGGGAGCAAACAGGAUUAGAUACCCUGGUAGUCCACGCUGUAAACGAUGGGCACUAGGUGUCGGCGGUUCAUAAUCCGUCGGUGCCGGCGCUAACGCAGUAAGUGCCCCGCCUGGGGAGUACGGUCGCAAGGCUG